rnacentral:pre_miRNA from 1 species
CAUGUACUCUCUUCGUCUCAGAAUUCUUGUCUUAAAUUUGUCUAAAUAAAGAUGUAUGAUACAUCUUUAUUUAGACAAAUCUAAGAGGAGAAUUUUGGGACAGAGGGAGUACAAC